rnacentral:rRNA from 1 species
GACGAACGCUGGCGGCGUGCCUAAUACAUGCAAGUAGAACGCUGAAGACUUUAGCUUGCUAGAGUUGGAAGAGUUGCGAACGGGUGAGUAACGCGUAGGUAACCUGCCUAUUAGUGGGGGAUAACUAUUGGAAACGAUAGCUAAUACCGCAUAAUAGUGUUUAACACAUGUUAGAGACUUAAAAGAUGCAAUUGCAUCACUAGUAGAUGGACCUGCGUUGUAUUAGCUAGUUGGUGGGGUAACGGCCUACCAAGGCGACGAUACAUAGCCGACCUGAGAGGGUGAUCGGCCACACUGGGACUGAGACACGGCCCAGACUCCUACGGGAGGCAGCAGUAGGGAAUCUUCGGCAAUGGGGGCAACCCUGACCGAGCAACGCCGCGUGAGUGAAGAAGGUUUUCGGAUCGUAAAGCCCUGUUGUAAGAGAAGAACGUGUGUGAGAGUGGAAAAUUCACACAGUGACGGUAACUUACCAGAAAGGGACGGCUAACUACGUGCCAGCAGCCGCGGUAAUACGUAGGUCCCGAGCGUUGUCCGGAUUUAUUGGGCGUAAAGCGAGCGCAGGCGGUUUAAUAAGUCUGAAGUUAAAGGCAGUGGCUUAACCAUUGUUCGCUUUGGAAACUGUUAAACUUGAGUGCAGAAGGGGAGAGUGGAAUUC